rnacentral:rRNA from 1 species
ACGCUGGCGGCAUGCCUUACACAUGCAAGUCGAACGGCAGCACGGAGCUUGCUCUGGUGGCGAGUGGCGAACGGGUGAGUAAUAUAUCGGAACGUACCCUAGAGUGGGGGAUAACGUAGCGAAAGUUACGCUAAUACCGCAUACGAUCUAAGGAUGAAAGUGGGGGAUCGCAAGACCUCAUGCUCGUGGAGCGGCCGAUAUCUGAUUAGCUAGUUGGUUGGGUAAAAGCCUACCAAGGCAUCGAUCAGUAGCUGGUCUGAGAGGACGACCAGCCACACUGGAACUGAGACACGGUCCAGACUCCUACGGGAGGCAGCAGUGGGGAAUUUUGGACAACGGGCGAAAGCCUGAUCCAGCAAUGCCGCGUGAGUGAAGAAGGCCUUCGGGUUGUAAAGCUCUUUUGUCAGGGAAGAAACGGUGAAAGCUAAUAUCUUUUGCUAAUGACGGUACCUGAAGAAUAAGCACCGGCUAACUACGUGCCAGCAGCCGCGGUAAUACGUAGGGUGCAAGCGUUAAUCGGAAUUACUGGGCGUAAAGCGUGCGCAGGCGGUUUUGUAAGUCUGAUGUGAAAUCCCCGGGCUCAACCUGGGAAUUGCAUUGGAGACUGCAAGGCUAGAAUCUGGCAGAGGGGGGUAGAAUUCCACGUGUAGCAGUGAAAUGCGUAGAUAUGUGGAGGAACACCGAUGGCGAAGGCAGCCCCCUGGGUCAAGAUUGACGCUCAUGCACGAAAGCGUGGGGAGCAAAC